CCCUCUCCUCUCCCAAAGGUUGGGCCUUUUUCUUUGCUACUUGAGGCUGGUGACGUGUGUAUUUUCUCUUUCUGACGAUCUCUGCGCAUUGGGUUCCGUCAGCAGAGGGUGGCGGUAGCGAAGAGAGCAGCGGUGGCAGCACCGCUGCCUCUGGGACGCCUGCGACGGUUAGCACGCUGUCGCCGGACGCCAAGGAGAACGUUUCGCCGACCGUCUUCAACCCGAGCAGCAAUCUGUUCACCAUGGCCAUCGGUGCCGAGAUUCUCGACAAGCCCCAGCCCAACUCCCCCACCGAAUAGACGGGUUCACACCCACCGCUCUCAUUCUUUCUGUAUCCAUCCAUCGGUUUACCUCUCUCUGAUAACAGUAUGUCGCUUACUGACAGGCUUUAAAGCGGAGAAACCAUGAGGUCGCAUCUCUGAGGAUCAGGUGGAACAGCUACGUACGUAGCUAGCCCACUUUCCUGUGAUGCAGUCACCAUGGUAUGUGCCAUCUUCUUUCGUACGCCAAUGGGGGUUCUCUCAUGUGUAGCGUUUGAAUAAGUUAGAUCUGUGUGAAGGGCAACUCCCUGGUAUAUGUAUGUACUUUGGAUGCCGUGCAUGAAAGUAGGAUCUUGGUGUUUGAAUCUGUCUUUGCGAACAUCCCCAUCGUCUCUAAUGAGUUAGU
rnacentral:lncRNA from 1 species